GGUGAGAUGGCCGAGCGGUCUAAGGCGCCAGAUUAAGGUUCUGGUCCUCCGGGGCGUGGGUUCGAAUCCCACUCUCAUCA